rnacentral:lncRNA from 11 species
GUCAUGUCAGAUUCAUAACCCUUUAAAAAGUCUAGAGAAGUAUUUUGGCUUUACUCACCUAACAGCAUCAGAGAGAACCACAGCUUUGCCAUUAUGAUGACCAUUCUCCACGGCUUCUGCAGGAGACUGUGUUUUGCUGUGCUGCUAUCUCAACGAUCUUCCUUUUGACACUCAUGUGCUCCCUCCAAGGGAAGUUCGAUGGAGCCAGGACUUCUGGCUGGGUCACUCUUGGUUCUGCUUUAAAUGGUAAACAAGGUUGAAAAGAGAAGCAUUUUUUUGGGCUCUGGAUCACUGAGGUCAAAGCUGGACCCAUUGGUGGAGGGGCAGAAGUGCCUGACAUGUGCCCUAUUAUCUACCGCCAUAUCCCCCGCGACUCCAGAGACCUCAUCCCUGUACCCCGUUCAGAGGGUUUCUCCAUCCUGUGCAGAGUGAAUACCUCUACAUCCCUCUGUGAAUGGAUCCUGAUCGCCACCAGAGAUCGCUCCUACUAUUUCAACAGGGACAUGAAAAACCACAUUGUCUUGCACCCCCUGGGCCUCAUCGUCACUCACAUGAACAAGGAGCUGGAAGGGGAGUACCAGAUCCUCUCGGGCCUCAACAGGACCUGUAUGGGCCGGGUCUUGAUGACAGCUGUGGGUCCAUUAUUUAUUUAUCGGAUCUUCCUCCUAAUCCCGGGCAUCAUGUUCCUGUGUGGGAUGGGUCUGCUGUGGGACUGCCUGAUAAAAGCACGCAAUCAGCUUGCUGUCUCUGAAGAAGAACAAACCACCAGCGACAGGAUUCAGCAUGUCAUCUCUCCGUCGGAUCUGAGUAGCAGCCUGUAAUGGAAGUCCAGUCAUUCUGAUCAUUCAUUACGGAAACAAUUCAUAUGUGACCCUUGUUUGAGCUGUACGAAUGGCUUGUAAAUACCUCUCAUUUUUGCAAAUGUCUUGCUUGAAUCCUGAUUUUGUUUUAUUUGCUUCUUCUGUCUCUCAUGGGUGUGUUGAAUAAAGAUUUACAAAUUGAACAG